rnacentral:rRNA from 1 species
UACGGAGGAUCCAAGCGUUAUCCGGAAUCAUUGGGUUUAAAGGGUCCGUAGGCGGUUUAAUAAGUCCGUGGUGAAAGCCCAUCGCUCAACGGUGGAACGGCCAUUGAUACUGUUAAACUUGAAUUAUUAGGAAGUAACUAGAAUAUGUAGUGUAGCGGUGAAAUGCUUAGAGAUUACAUGGAAUACCAAUUGCGAAGGCAGGUUACUACUAAUGGAUUGACGCUGAUGGACGAAAGCGUGGGUAGCGAACAGG